rnacentral:lncRNA from 1 species
GGGGCUCUAGCGGCGAGUAGGGCUUGGGAGAAUAGAAGGGAGAAUAGAAUGAAACGUUUUUUUGUGUAACCAGUGGUAUUGGUGGGUAAUUACCCACCAACUCCACGAGGAGGUUCAAAAGAGAGGUUUCUGGAGUAGCAAAAGAGGUGCUCCAAAACACCACCUCCAUUUGCACUACAGCUCCAUGGAGUUGGCAACUCCA